ACGCCUUACGAUAACAUCGCAGAAAAUAAUGAGAAACCAUGCAGUAACCAUCCAACUUUGAUAGCAAACAAAACACAGAUUCUAAUUUCUAAGCAAAACUAUACAGAUUAUCCCAAAAAACAUAAAUGUGUUGGGAAUACAUAUUCUCUGAUGGUAAAAGUAGAUGCUCCAAUAAAGACCACAAAAUAAAAAUCAACAUAAAAGAACCCACCUACCCCAAUACUGACCUCCUAGAAAAAAAGAACCAAACAUCAAACCCUCAUGAAGACCUCCCAAAUCUUCAACAUUUCCCGGCCACUCCAAGGUAUAGGAAGAAAAAAGAAAAAAAAUGAUGAUAAUGUUGUGUACUUCUUCAGCACUUGGAUCUGGACCGCCAUGUAGUGACUAGAGUGUAGUUUUCAUCUAUGCCAUGUGGUCCUAUUACUAUUAGGAUCAUCUUCUCCUCCCUCGCGCGCACAACUCACAGAGUAAAAAAGAUAGUUGGGUUGCAGAGAAGAAGAAGAGAGCAGAGUGGUCGAGCAAAUCAUAGAUAUAUAACAUAAAAAACUGAAGACUAACCUGUUGUUAUUUCUUGGACGACGAAGCUCUUCAACAGUCGACGAAACCCUAAUGGGUUCUGGAAAAAACGAAGAAGGAACAAACAGGAACGAAGAAGAACGAAAAUAAAAAAAACUUACCACAACCUAGAGCAAUGUAUAACUUAAACCAAGCACAACCUAGAGCUUGAACAACGGACGAAGAUGAACUACGAUUUGGACAGGAGACAGGAGCUUGAGGAGGGUUGGGGAUUUUCUUCAAAUCUUUACAGACAGAAUCCCUCUGCCAUUACUGAGUAGAUUUUAUACCUAUAAAGUCGUAG
rnacentral:lncRNA from 1 species